rnacentral:rRNA from 1 species
UACGAAGGGGCUAGCGUUGCUCGGAAUUACUGGGCGUAAAGCGGCACGUAGGCGGCUCUUUAAGUCGGUAGGUGAAAGUCCAUGGAGCUCAACUCCAGAACUGCCCUCGAUACUGAAGAGCUCGAGUCCGGGAGAGGUGAGUGGAACUGCGAGUGUAGAGGUGAAAUUCGUAGAUAUUCGCAAGAACACCAGUGGCGAAGGCGGCUCACUGGCCCGGUACUGACGCUGAGGUGCGAAAGCGUGGGGAGCAAACAGG